rnacentral:rRNA from 1 species
UACGGGGGGGGCAAGCGUUGUUCGGAAUUACUGGGCGUAAAGGGCUCGUAGGCGGCCAACUAAGUCAGACGUGAAAUCCCUCGGCUUAACCGGGGAACUGCGUCUGAUACUGGAUGGCUUGAGAUUGGGAGAGGGAUGCGGAAUUCCGGGUGUAGCGGUGAAAUGCGUAGAUAUCUGGAGGAACACCGGUGGCGAAGGCGGCAUCCUGGACCAACACUGACGCUGAGGAGCGAAAGCCAGGGGAGCAAACAGG